CACUCCUGCGGGAGGCAGCAGUGGGGAAUAUUGGACAAUGGGCGCAAGCCUGAUCCAGCCAUGCCGCGUGAGUGAUGAAGGCCCUAGGGUUGUAAAGCUCUUUCACCGGUGAAGAUAAUGACGGUAACCGGAGAAGAAGCCCCGGCUAACUUCGUGCCAGCAGCCGCGGUAAUACGAAGGGGGCUAGCGUUGUUCGGAUUUACUGGGCGUAAAGCGCACGUAGGCGGACUAUUAAGUCAGGGGUGAAAUCCCGGGGCUCAACCCCGGAACUGCCUUUGAUACUGGUAGUCUUGAGUUCGAGAGAGGUGAGUGGAAUUCCGAGUGUAGAGGUGAAAUUCGUAGAUAUUCGGAGGAACACCAGUGGCGAAGGCGGCUCACUGGCUCGAUACUGACGCUGAGGUGCGAAAGCGUGGGGAGCAAACAGGAUUAGAAACCCUGGUAGUCCC
rnacentral:rRNA from 1 species